GGGGAUUUAGCUUAGCGGUAGAGCGCUUGCCUAGCACGCGCAAGGCCCUGGGUUCAGUCCCCA
rnacentral:tRNA from 1 species